rnacentral:lncRNA from 1 species
CUCCCUGCUACUUCCUGGUCCCCAGGGGGCCCCUCCCUCGGUCAGCAGAGGGUGAACAGAGGGUGGGCCCCAGGAGCCUGAGACCAGGGCAGCCCCCUGAUGAGAGUGAUGAUCAGCUGCGCUGAUUUGCUGAUGGAAAUUUGCAUACAUCAUGUAAUUUGGGCCGAUCGAGUUGUCGGUUAAGAUGGAAUCCCUUGAUGAGCAACAUGCACUUGGCAGUGACCGAGGAGACAAGAAACCCUGGAGAUGCUGCAGUGGAAACGCGCUCCUGUUUUUGAAGGAGAUGGCCAUUUUCAGAGUCCACGUCUAACAACCCACAUUCCUAAGUCCCCCUUCCCUCCAGGUCACAGCUGGCAUCUGUUGAGAUGAAAAACUUCAUGGGAUGCCACAGAAAAAAAGCCGGCUGCUUUCGUCUCUAUUGAAUGGUCUUUUAUACGGAGAGAUAACGAAGAACAAUUAAUACGGCAAUUGGGAGCAAACUUCGAUGCCCUGAUUAGCCCUGAGCAAACAUCUGCCAAUCCUCCUCUUUUUGCUGAGGAAGACUGGCCUUGAGAUAACGUCUGUGUCCAUCUUCCUCUACUUUAUAUGUGGGAUGCCUACCACAGCAUGGCUUGCCACACGGUGCAAUGUCCGCAUCCAGGAUCCAAACCGGCGAACCCCGGGCCGUUGAAGUGGAACGUGCGCACUGAACCGCUGCACCGCCAGGCCGGCCCCCAAGUAUUUCAUCUUUUUAUUGUUACUGUUGACUGAGGUGGGCUGAUCCAGCCUAGGCUUGGCUCCAGGCUGCAGGUUGGAUCCAGAUCUGCUCCACGUGUCUCUCAUCCUCUCUGACCCGCUAGCAAACUAUGGCAUCCUCUUCUACGGUGAUGAUGGAACAGCAAGAGUGAAGGAAGUCAUCUCUGGACAUAGAGUGGGUCCAAGCUACAGAAAAAAAAGGAGAAAAGCUGAGGGCUUUGGAGUGGUUCAGCCCUGGCAGCACGAUAGCAGGCCUCUCAGAGCCUUCUGCUCGUUGUGUUUUCACCUCACCCAGCGGCAGAGGAUUCCCUUAAGGUGCCCUGGACUGGACCCCUCAUGGGGAUUGAGAAGCUGGGGAGUCACAGCCACAUCGUGUUGGUAAAGAUGUGGAGAAACUAGAGCUCUUAUGCACUGUGGGAUCCGCUGUGGGAACGUAAAAUGUGAAUGUCUUUGGAAAACAGUGUGGCAGUUUAAAAAAAUUAAACAUACAUCUAUCACACGAU